UACAGAGGGGGCAAGCGUUUGUUCGGAAUUACUGGGCGUAAAGCGCGCGUAGGCGGCCUGCUAAGUCACACGUGAAAUCCCUCGGCUCAACCGGGGAACUGCGUGUGAUACUGGCGGGCUUGAAUUCGGGAGAGGGAUGCAGAAUUCCAGGUGUAGCGGUGAAAUGCGUAGAUAUCUGGAGGAAUACCGGUGGCGAAGGCGGCAUCCUGGACCGACAUUGACGCUGAUGAGCGAAAGCUAGGGGAGCAAAACGGGG
rnacentral:rRNA from 1 species